AUGGUCAACGCGCGGGUGGAUAGAGCAGGUCAUUGGUGUUCAUCCUCCUUGGCUCGAACAGGACCAGGACAUGGCGGGGAAGCAGGGGAGAACCGGGACUGCGGGGUCCAGCGGGGAUGGACGCCAGCGACACACACGAGAGAGAUAUGUGGGAGGAAGGAGGAGAAGGAGACGGGCAGGGAAGGAGGAGCAGGGCGGCGGGGGCCUGUUGGUGCUCGCCGGUGGCGAGACGAGUCGGCGGGAUGCGGGCACGAAGAGAAGGAGCCUGCAGCGCGGUGCUGCUGCGGGAGGAGUCCGGUGUGA
rnacentral:rRNA from 1 species